UUGGACAGAGCUAAAUGGCC
rnacentral:miRNA from 1 species